rnacentral:rRNA from 1 species
GACGAACGCUGGCGGCGUGCUUAACACAUGCAAGUCGAACGAAGUGGCGAACGGGUGAGUAACGCGUAAUCAACCUGCCCUUCAGAGGGGGACAACAGUGGGAAACGAAUGCUAAUACCGCAUACUGAAGGAGGGGAUUGCGGCGGAUUAGCUAGUUGGAGGGGUAACGGCCUACCAAGGCGAUGAGCAGUAGCCUGGCUUGGAGGAUGAACGGCCACAUGUGGACUGAGACACGGCCCAGAAUCCUACGGGAGGCAGCAGUGGGGAAUCUUCCGCAAUGGACGAAAGUCUGACGGAGCAACGCCGCGUGAGUGAUGACGGCCUUCGGGGUGUAAAGCUCUGUUAAUCGGGACGCGUUACCGGAAGAGAAAGCCACGGCUAACUACGUGCCAGCAGCCGCGGUAAUAC